GGCUCUGUAUUACAGAGGUCUAUUCAUGUCCUUCAUAGGGUUAGAGCUGGACAGUUCUAAACUAAUGGUCUGUAUUGCAGAGGUCUAUUCAUGUCCUUCAUAGGGUUAGAGCUGGACAGUUCUAAACUAAUGGUAGAGGCUCUGUAUU